rnacentral:rRNA from 1 species
CAGCACGGACUUCGGUCUGGUGGCGAGUGGCGAACGGGUGAGUAAUGUAUCGGAACGUGCCCAGUAGCGGGGGAUAACUACGCGAAAGCGUAGCUAAUACCGCAUACGCCCUACGGGGGAAAGCAGGGGAUCGCAAGACCUUGCACUAUUGGAGCGGCCGAUAUCGGAUUAGCUAGUUGGUGGGGUAACGGCUCACCAAGGCGACGAUCCGUAGCUGGUUUGAGAGGACGACCAGCCACACUGGGACUGAGACACGGCCCAGACUCCUACGGGAGGCAGCAGUGGGGAAUUUUGGACAAUGGGGGAAACCCUGAUCCAGCCAUCCCGCGUGUGCGAUGAAGGCCUUCGGGUUGUAAAGCACUUUUGGCAGGAAAGAAACGUCGCGGGUUAAUACCCCGCGAAACUGACGGUACCUGCAGAAUAAGCACCGGCUAACUACGUGCCAGCAGCCGCGGUAAUACGUAGGGUGCAAGCGUUAAUCGGAAUUACUGGGCGUAAAGCGUGCGCAGGCGGUUCGGAAAGAAAGAUGUGAAAUCCCAGAGCUUAACUUUGGAACUGCAUUUUUAACUACCGGGCUAGAGUGUGUCAGAGGGAGGUGGAAUUCCGCGUGUAGCAGUGAAAUGCGUAGAUAUGCGGAGGAACACCGAUGGCGAAGGCAGCCUCCUGGGAUAACACUGACGCUCAUGCACGAAAGCGUGGGGAGCAAACAGGAUUAGAUAC